rnacentral:lncRNA from 1 species
UUUUUUGUUUUUUUUAUUUCUUAUUGCUUUACUUGUUUCAGUCAAUGGACUGUGGCCAUGCUGGGGCACCAUAUCCAAGGAUUUAGUCAAAUUCAGUCCAAUACAUAGUUUUUUCUUUCUUAAGUCUGAUACUUAUUCUAUCAGUCUCCUUUGCUGAACCACUACAUUGUGGAGAUGUAAACAAACCAACAUUAGUUGCCAAGCAGUUGGGUAGGGCUGACAGAGAACAAACAGAAAGACACACACGUGGUAGUUUCUGUCAAAUAAUUACGACAGGAUUGACCAAAUAAUUAAGACAUAGAAUCAACGAAAUAAUUAUGACUAGAAUCAACGAAAUAAUUAUGACUAGAAUUAACCAAAUAAUUAUGACUAGAAUUAACCAAAUAAUUAUGACUAGAAUUAACCAAAUAAUUAUGACUAGUAUUAACCAAAUAAUUACGACUAGAAUUAACCAAAUAAUUACGACUAGAAUUAACCAAAUAAUUAUGACUAGUAUUAACCAAAUAAUUAUGACUAGAAUUAACCAAAUAAUUAUGACUAGUAUUAACCAAAUAAUUAUGACUAGAAUUAACCAAAUAAUUAUGACUAGAAUUAACCAAAUAAUUAUGACUAGAAUUAACCAAAUAAUUAUGACUAGUAUUAACCAAAUAAUUAUGACUAGUAUUAACCAAAUAAUUAUGACUAGAAUUAACCAAAUAAUUAUGAUUAGAAUUAACCAAAUAAUUAUGACAUAGAAUCAACCAAGGAAGUGCUGAGACUGACAGGGAAAGGAUGAAAGGCAAAAAUUGGCCUUGGUGAGAUUUGAACUCAGAGCUCACUAUGUCAGAUAAAUACCAGAAGGCAUCCUAUCCAGCACUCUAAUGACUGACAAUUCGCUGCUGCCUUCGACUCAAGAAGCACUUUACAAAACAAUAUAACACACACCAUAAAACUUUAAAUAACAAAAAAAUUUACAUUACAUCGGCCUAAUUGUAGAGUAUAUUUUGUACAUCUGUUCGGCUCUGAGUUCAUCUUCAUACAUUUUUGUAACCUGGAGCACUUUUAAAAUACACGAUGGGGAAGGUGGGGGGGGUAGAGAAGGUUGAGAGGAAUUUCAGCAGAUGAUAAAUGCAUUCUUUGUCCUUUUUCUUUUACAUUUUGGUGCUGUAUACAUUUGACAAUUGUGUAAUGUCCUUAAAACAGAAAUGUAAAAAGAAAAAUGACAAUACAAGUGAGUGGGGAUGAGGAGGGGUGAGAAUAAAGGGGAGUGAGAGAGAGACACACACAUACAGAAAGAGAGAGAGAGGGGGGAAGAUCAAUUCCAGUUAACGGCUAAUUCAAUUACAUCUCUUUGUCUGGUAUUAUGAUGAAUACACUUGAAGCUGAAAUGUAAUAUAAGUAUGUUCCCAAUGAUACAGUCAUUACGAACAUGUGUGCAGCUCUUACGAUGUGUAUGUAUGUGGGUGCUCAUGUGUGUGUGUGUGUGUAUAAAAGCAUGUGAGUCUGUGUGUGCUUGUAUGUGCAUGUGUGCGCAGGGAGAGAACACUUUGAAAGCUACCGUUAGUAGAAAUGAAUUUGUUAAAGUAGUUACAGAUGUUAAUUACAGCUAUACUAAUUAUGGAUAUGUCUAUCAGAGAGUUGCUAAAGUCUUAAACAAUGUUACAUGGCCUGGAGUGAAGAGGUUUUUCUCUCAUUUCAGAGUCAUUUACAUUCACACAUCUCAAGCACAUAUCUCCCUUUGACGACAAUUCGGCAACUCUUAUGGGUACUGGCAUAAUCAUAUGCUUUUGACAUUUACUCCACAAUUAGAUUCUUCAGAUUUCAGUCAUACUGAGUGACACCUUUGGCUAGUGUCAUCUGCACCAUCAUAUCAAAAUCUUGUACAAGUGCAAAGAUUUUGUACAUGGACUUCCUUUAAUUUCUCACUAAAUCACAACCAUCAUUAUUAUGAUGAGCAUCAUUAUAGUUCUGCUUUCUGUGCUACUAAGAGUUGGAUCAAAAUGUUGUUUCAAGUCGUUUCUUAUUUGGAGUUACUGAUCAUCUACAUCAUCUGGGAGACUCUGUCACACUCCUACAUUCUAUUUCUGACUUGCUUUCUAUAGUUAGGUGCCCUACCUAACAUCAACCAAUUUAUAGAGUGUACUAGGUGCACCAAUGCGAUCAUGGCAAUAUCAUUUUAUCAUGUGUAUCAUCAUAUCAAAAUAUUGUACACUGAAAUGGAUUGAGUUUAGUUUCUCACCAAAUCAUCAUCAAGAAACCCAUUCUUGUGGUUUUGCAGCCCAUGUCGGGGCAGGUCGGACAACGUUGGUCCAAGUCACUUCUCAUUCGAAGUGCUCUCCUACAUCACCUGGGAGACCCUAUCAUAUACCUAUAUACUGUUUUUGGCAUGGCUUUGACGGGGCUGGAUACCGUAUCCAUUAUCCAUCACUUUACAGAGUGUGCCACAUGUAAUUUAUCAUGGCACCAAUAUUAGAUAGGUCAUUAUGUGUUUCACAAAACAAAAGUGGUCUACUUAAAGUUGCUUCGUCUCCAUUUACCAACUACUUCACAGAGUGUAUUUGGUGCAUUUAAUCCUGACACCACAAUAUACUUGCUCUAUAUAUAUAUAUCAUAACAUUCAAUAUUAUGUCCAGUAGAAGCAAAUCCACUUUGCAAGAUGUAGCCUGGAUGAUGAAACUUUAUGUGGAGCUUCAAUUUCACCCAAGCAGUCAUACAUUUAACACUAUAUACCCAUGAAAUACUCUCUCUCUCUCUCUCUCUCCAUAACACACACAUUUGUUUAUUCAUUUGUAUAAUGUCUGCUUCGGCACACUAGCAGAUGCUGGGCAGGGAGUUAUUUUGAUGUAGCAUUUUACAGCAGGAUGCUCUUCCUGUGGCCAAGCCUUGUCUCUUUCUCAAAUAAAAAAUUUCCAGGCGCAGGAGUGGCUGUGUGGUAAGUAGCUUGUUUACCAACCACAUGGUUCCGGGUUCAGUCCCACUGCGUGGCACCUUGGGCAAGUGUCUUCUACUAUAGCCUUGGGCCGACCAAAGCCUUGUGAGUGGAUUUGGCAGAUGGAAACUGAAAGAAGCCCGACAUAUAUAUGUAUAUAUAUAUAUAUAUAUAUGCGUGUCUGUGUUUGUGCCCCACAACAUUGCUUGACAACCGAUGCUGGUGUGUUUAUGUCUCUGUUACUUAGCGGUUCGGCAAAAGAGACUGAUAGAAUAAGUACUGGGCUUACAAAACAAUAAGUCCCGGGGUCGAGUUGCUCGAUUAAAGGCGGUGCUCCAGCAUGGCCACAGUCAAAUGACUGAAACAAGUAAAAGAGUAAA